GGAACACGUCUCAAGUGAGAGGUUAAUAUUUAAAAAUGCAUAUUCUGAGAAACUAUUUGAAAGGGUUUACCACUUGUAUAUUUCAGAAGGCUUUGCUUCCAGUUGUGGUACUGAAGUCUACUAAUGCUUUUAUGUCCACACUAUUGAAGAGUAGUUUCUACAAGUAGUUUGACUGAUAGUCAGUGAGCUGGUGAAAGAGAAGAAAGUGGCAACCAUUUGUUUUUCUGCUUUAAAGAAUUGUCUUGGGGCAGUUUGUAUAGGCAAGUGUCCUGAGGUAACAGUAUAACAAUGACUUGUUGAGCUUUUCAGGGAAUUCAGAAUCUGCUGCCAUGCACAGGAGUCUGUAGAAGUUAUUUGUGUGCUGCUGGAAAAUUAUAGAUUACACGAUUCACUACAGAGUAUUCACUUUGUCUUUUGAGUCUAUUAAAUCAUAUUCUGCUGGAAGUUUUCUGUCCCACUCUUUUGCUAUAAUAGAAUAUCCCUUUUUGAUAGCAGUGUUUUUACUGGUACAGGUGGCUCUCACAGUAUUUUUUUCGAAAGUGUUAGACUUAAAAUUUGUUAUUUCAGCAUGUGUGUCCAGGUUUCAGCAGUGUUAAUAGCACACCAAUAUUUUGAUUGUUGCUGAGUGAGGGGUGCACACCCAGGCCACUCAGUGGGAAAAGUUCACCAUCAUUAUGGCGCAGUGGCAAGGGGGCAUGGUGGUUAGAGCCAGGAUAUCUGGCCUGAAUUGGGAAGGGGUUAUUCCAAACCACAUGACAUCAUGCAGAAGGUCAUAAAGCCCCAAGGAGUUGGGCUGGGCCACUGCUGGAGAUUGGUUGUAUGUUGAUUGGUGGGUAGUGAGAUGUGUUUGUAGCUGUGCAUUCAUCAAUGGACAAUUGUAUUGUUACCUGGGCAUUGGUCAAUGGGAGUGGUGGAGACAUCUCUUUGUCACGGAAGAUGAGGAUGAACAAAGAAAGCAUUAUCAAUGACCUUUUCUUCAAUUCCUGGAAUCCUGCUUUGCAGUUGCUCGGAAUGGUUUUAACACUGGGUCCAAUUUUUUCCACACGUUUCACCAGCUGAUCCCACAGUUCUCCAAUUUCCAUGUAUGUGCUGUUGAUCUAUCUCAUGUAGAUAACAUGAGUUUUAAAAAGUGUUCUGGUUGAUUGCCUG
rnacentral:lncRNA from 1 species